AGUGAACGCUGGCGGUAGGCCUAACACAUGCAAGUCGAACGGCAGCACAGUAAGAGCUUGCUCUUACGGGUGGCGAGUGGCGGACGGGUGAGGAAUACAUCGGAAUCUACUUUUUCGUUGGGGAUAACGUAGGGAAACUUACGCUAAUACCGCAUACGACCUACGGGUGAAAGCAGGGGAUCUUCGGACCUUGCUCGAUUGAAUGAGCCGAUGUCGGAUUAGCUAGUUGGCGGGGUAAAGGCCCACCAAGGCGACGAUCCGUAGCUGGUCUGAGAGGAUGAUCAGCCACACUGGAACUGAGACACGGUCCAGACUCCUACGGGAGGCAGCAGUGGGGAAUAUUGGACAAUGGGCGCAAGCCUGAUCCAGCCAUACCGCGUGGGUGAAGAAGGCCUUCGGGUUGUAAAGCCCUUUUGUUGGGAAAGAAAAGCAGCAGGUUAAUACCCCGCUGUUCUGACGGUACCCAAAGAAUAAGCACCGGCUAACUUCGUG
rnacentral:rRNA from 1 species